rnacentral:lncRNA from 1 species
GGCUGGCAGUCCAUGUGCUGUUGAUGUAAGGUUCUUGAGUUGCAAGCAGCAGCGGUCCUUUCUCAUCUCUCUAGUUCUGCUUCCAGGAUUUCUCCCCAUGUGUCAACAUCCAUAGGAUACAUGCUUUUCUCAGGCAAGUUGUUUUGUGAGUGAACGUUACUGUAUUUCCCGCUGAGCCAUUCUUGUUUUACUUUGCUUUUCCAGUAGUUCCUUAGUAAUGUGAUCUUCCACGAAUAUCCACUUCCCCGGUCGCCGUCGAUCUCCCGCUG